rnacentral:rRNA from 1 species
GACGAACGCUGGCGGCGUGCUUAACACAUGCGAGUCGAACGGUAAGGCCCCUUCGGGGGUACACGAGUGGCGAACGGGUGAGUAACACGUGGGUGAUCUGCCCUGCACUUCGGGAUAAGCCUGGGAAACUGGGUCUAAUACCGGAUAGGACCACGCUCUGCAUGGAGUGUGGUGGAAAGCUUUUGCGGUGUGGGAUGGGCCCGCGGCCUAUCAGCUUGUUGGGGGGGUGAUGGCCUACCAAGGCGACGACGGGUAGCCGGCCUGAGAGGGUGUCCGGCCACCAGGGGACGAAGGACGGCCCCAGCCGCCAAGGGGGGGAAGGGGGGGGAAAUAUGACACAGGGGGGGCGAGCGGGAUGAGGCGGCGCCGGGGGGGGAAGGCGGCCCUGGGGGUUAAAAACCUUUUCCGGUCCCGAAGAGGGGGAAGUGACGGUAGGUAAAGAAGAAGCACCGGCAAACUACGUG